UUACAGCCAUAGCACAUUCAAACACCAGUUCCCAAAUGAUCACCAAAGUUAAGCAACGUCAAGACUGGUCAGUACCUAGAUAGGUGACCGCUUGGGAAUACCAGGUGCUGUAAG